GAUGAACGCUGGCGGCGUGCCUAAUACAUGCAAGUCGAGCGAACUGAUUAGAAGCUUGCUUCUAUGACGUUAGCGGCGGACGGGUGAGUAACACGUGGGCAACCUGCCUGUAAGACUGGGAUAACUUCGGGAAACCGAAGCUAAUACCGGAUAGGAUCUUCUCCUUCAUGGGAGAUGAUUGAAAGAUGGUUUCGGCUAUCACUUACAGAUGGGCCCGCGGUGCAUUAGCUAGUUGGUGAGGUAACGGCUCACCAAGGCAACGAUGCAUAGCCGACCUGAGAGGGGGAUCGGCCACACGGGGACUGAGAAACGGCCCAGACUCCUACGGGAGGCAGCAGGAGGGAAUCUUCCGCAAUGGACGAAAGUCUGACGGAGCAACGCCGCGUGAGUGAUGAAGGCUUUCGGGUCGUAAAACUCUGUUGUUAGGGAAGAACAAGUACAAGAGUAACUGCUUGUACCUUGACGGUACCUAACCAGAAAGCCACGGCUAACUACGUGCCAGCCGCCGCAGUAA
rnacentral:rRNA from 1 species